GACGAACGCUGGCGGCGUGCUUAACACAUGCAAGUCGAACGGGCCUUGUCCCCUUUUUUUUUGGGGGUGGGGUUAGUGGCGAACGGGUGAGUAACACGUGAGUAACCUGCCCCUCACUUCUGGAUAACCGCUUGAAAGGGUGGCUAAUACGGGGUGUUCUGGCCUGCUCGCAUGGGUGGGUUUGGAAAGAUUCGACCGGUUUGGUUGUUUUGGUGGGGGAUGGGCUCGCGGCCUAUCAGCUUGUUGGUGGGGUGAUGGCCUGCCAAGGCUUUGACGGGUAGCCGGCCUGAGAGGGUGGGCGGUCACACUGGGACUGAGACACGGCACAGACUCCUACGGGAGGCAGCAGUGGGGAAUAUUGCACAAUGGGCGCAAGCCUGAUGCAGCGACGCCGCGUGAGGGAUGGAGGCCUUCGGGUUGUGAACCUCUUUCGCCAGUGAAGAAGGUCCUGCUCUUUGUGGUGGGGUUGACGGUAGCUGGGUUAAUGAAGCGCCGGCUAACUACGUG
rnacentral:rRNA from 1 species